UACGGAGGGUGCAAGCGUUACCCGGAAUCAUUGGGCGUAAAGCGUCCGCAGGCGGUUUAUUAAGUUAGUUAUUAAAUCUCGGGGCCCAACCUCGAGGCCGUAACUAAAACUGAUAAACUAGAGUCUUUCAGAGGCAUACGGAAUUCUGUGUGUAGGGGUAAAAUCCGUAGAUACACAGAGGAACACCAAAAGCGAAGGCAGUAUGCUGGGAAAGUACUGACGCUCAUGGACGAAAGCGUAGGUAGCGAACGGGAUUAGAUACCCGCGUA
rnacentral:rRNA from 1 species